rnacentral:RNase_P_RNA from 1 species
GAGACCGGCCGGAUGGCUGCUUUCCAUUCCGUGUGCUUCCCGGAGGAAUCUCUUUCGGGAUUGGCAGACGGGGAUGGAGAGAGGAAAGUCCGAACUCCGCAGGAUACGGCGCCUCCUAACGGGAGGGGGCCGCGGCUUUGUCCUUUCGGGGAAACGGGUCGGGGCUACGGAAAGUGCCACAGAAACAAGACGGCCCCAUCCGCUCUGGCGGGUGGAGCAAAGGUGAAACGGUGGUGUAAGAGACCACCAGUCUCCGGCGCGAGCCGGGGAGCUGGCAAACCCCGCCGGGAGCAAGACCGAACAGCUCCGUUCCCUUUCCAUCAGCUCCGCCUCUGGCGGGACCAGCUGACUGACGGGAGCCAGUGAUCCGCCGGUGUCCCGAGGUAUCGGGACUCGGAGCGGGUAGGUCGCUUGAUCCCGGUUGUGAAGCCGGGGCCAGAUGAAUAGCCAUCAUUCGUCAACCGACGGAUACAGAAUUCGGCUUAUAGUCCGGUCUCCAAA